rnacentral:rRNA from 1 species
UACGUAGGGGGCAAGCGUUGUCCGGAUUUACUGGGCGUAAAGAGCGCGUAGGCGGUUUGUCAAGUCGCGUGUGAAAGCCCCCGGCUCAACUGGGGAGGGUCACGCGAUACUGUUCGACUUGAAGGCAGGAGAGGGAAGUGGAAUUCCCGGUGUAGUGGUGAAAUGCGUAGAUAUCGGGAGGAACACCAGUGGCGAAGGCGACUUCCUGGCCUGUUCUUGACGCUGAGGCGCGAAAGCUAGGGUAGCAAACGGG